AUGUAAUGCGAUGCCUACAACGUUAAUGCACCAUAUCCCAUUAGAACUCUGUAGUUAAGCAUGCUUGAGAUAAAGUAGUACUGGGAUGGGUGAAUUCCCGGGAAGUCCUAGUGUUUUACAUG
rnacentral:rRNA from 1 species